rnacentral:miRNA from 1 species
AGAUUGCUUUCAAGGUCAUUUCUU